GCCAGGAUAGCCUAGGUAGUCAUGGCGCGGCUCUGAAAAAGCUGAGAUCUCGGUGCAAUUCCGGGUCCUGGCACCA
rnacentral:tRNA from 1 species